rnacentral:rRNA from 1 species
GAACGGGUGAGUAAUGCAUCGGAACGUGCCCAGUCGUGGGGGAUAACUGCUCGAAAGAGCAGCUAAUACCGCAUACGACCUGAGGGUGAAAGCGGGGGACCGUAAGGCCUCGCGCGAUUGGAGCGGCCGAUGUCAGAUUAGCUAGUUGGUGGGGUAAAGGCCUACCAAGGCAACGAUCUGUAGUUGGUCUGAGAGGACGACCAGCCACACUGGGACUGAGACACGGCCCAGACUCCUACGGGAGGCAGCAGUGGGGAAUUUUGGACAAUGGGCGCAAGCCUGAUCCAGCAAUGCCGCGUGCA